UCUCACUGUUCUUUUCCCAAACACACAAGAUCUCACAAUCCCAGCAAGAGGAAAUGACUUAGGGAUGAAGGCUUCAGAGGAGGAAAAAAAAAUAGAGGCUUCCAAUAAAAAUCAUUUCUAGAAGGAAUGAAGCUGUUAUUGGCAAGUCAACCAGUGAGAGAGACGACUUUGGAAAGAAAGAAGUUCUAUCUUCUAUCCACAUGUCUGUUAGAGAAUGUUUGCAGGUAUUUCCUGGGGGCUUCCCUGGUGGCUCAGAUGGUAAAGAGUCUGCCUGCAGUACAGGAGACCAGGGUUCGAUCCCUGGAUUUGGAAGAUCUGAUGGAGAAGGGAAUGGCUACCAACUCCAGUAUUCUUGCCUAGAGAAUUCCACAGACAGAGGAUCCUGGAGAGCCACAGUACACGGGAUUGCAAAGAGCUGGACAAGACUGACUAACACUAUUACCCUCCUACAGAGUUCCAAAAAAACAGCAGGAAAGGAAACAGGAUUGCUGAUGAAGUACAAGAUCAUCAGAAUUAAAGUUCUCAAGGAAUUAAAUCUCUCACUCCUGGCAAAACACCAUGCCAUGUAUUUAACUCAGCAUCCUGUGCCAAGGAGGUGAAAAAAGCCAGAAAAUAUCCUGUCCACAGGGCAUCAGCUUGUGUCUGUGCGUAAGUCCUGGGGUCUUGGGUGUCAAAUGUCAGGCCUUGUACUGAGCUGUCAAAGAGAAGAAUGGGCUGAGAUGAUUGAUGACUGGGAGGCCUGAAACCCAAACCUCCACUGCAAAUGCUUCUUUUACAAAAAAGCUGGGGCUACCCACAGUGCCUGUAUUCAAGGUCACUUCGCAUGCCAUUACACCCACCGCGUUCGACUCCCAACAAGCCACGCCAUUCACACGGGGGCCGACUUCUCCUCUGAGCCCUCUCCCUCUCUCCCUUCCUGCCUCCUCUGUUCCUCUCACAAGCCCUUGCCCAAAUGUUGG
ensembl:lncRNA